rnacentral:tRNA from 1 species
GGGUGAUUAGCUCAGCUGGGAGAGCACCUCCCUUACAAGGAGGGGGUCGGCGGUUCGAUCCCGUCAUCAGCCAGCA